CACCGCCGCGGUAACACGUAGGGUGCAAGCGUUAAUCGGAAUUACUGGGCGUAAAGCGUGCGCAGGCGGUUUGUUAAGACAGAUGUGAAAUCCCCGGGCUCAACCUGGGAACUGCAUUUGUGACUGGCAAGCUAGAGUAUGGCAGAGGGGGGUGGAAUUCCGCGUGUAGCAGUGAAAUGCGUAGAUAUGCGGAGGAACACCGAUGGCGAAGGCAGCCCCCUGGGCCAAUACUGACGCUCAUGCAUGAAAGCGUGGGGAGCAAACGGGAUUAGAUACCCCUGUAGUCCCUGUCUCUUAUACA
rnacentral:rRNA from 1 species